rnacentral:lncRNA from 1 species
GUGGGCGGAACCAAGAGCCUGGCGGGGGGUUCUCCUGAAUGGCGGUUCUCCCAGGUACUGGCCACGCGACCCCAGCCCCCGCCCCAGAUAGCUCCCUGUCAAGGCUUCCCUGGGCGCGGCCGCCUUCUAGGCCCCGGCCCUUGACACACGCGGUGUCCUCCCGGGGAAACCCCGAGUAGGCGCGGUGGAAUCGCGGCUGGUGGUGGGCAUGGGGACCCUGCCCCAUCCACACUCCGCUCCCACCCUGAACCCAGCGCCCCCGGGGACCCCCGACUCACCUAGACUCCCCACCCAACCCGACCCCCCCGCGGGGACCCCUCCAGACACCCCAGCACCCGCCCGGAGCCUUGUCUGCUGCACCUCCCGUCCAGCCCCGGGCCUCCCAGAGGUGGGCGGGAGCUGAGCUUCUCCCCAGCCAGUCACUCCCCACGGCCGGUCCUUCUCCACCCCAGAACCUCCAGAGAUGUCACAGGCCCAGCACUGUGGCUCGUGGCUGACCGCGCCCUGGAGGGUCUCGCUGUGUUUAUCCUUGUGAGGUCCUUCUACAGAGCUUUCAAGGAAGACAGAGUUCAGCCUGUUUAUUGGGAAGACUUUAAUCCUGCUCAAGACAUCUACUGUGUCACCGUACCACUGUGGCCCAGCGCCUGGUGGAGUGAAUCCAGACCCCCAGGGGUGUCCCCUCCCCGCCUUUCUCCUGGUGUCUAGGGGCACCCAGAAACCCUCACCCCAGAUUAGACCAGCUCGUUGGCAACAUCCCUGAGACAGAAGAGAGACACAGAGAGAAGAGGCACAGAGGAGCCGGCCAUGGAGCGAUACAGCAGAAGCUGGAGGCGACGGGAGGAUCCUGGCCCAGAGCCUCGGGAGGGAGUGGGGGCCGUGUUCCAGAAGCCUGAGAGUCCUGCGUGUUGUUCUGAGCCCCUAAGGCUGGGGUAGCUUGUUCCAGCAGUCAUGGGAAACUGACACAUCCCAAACACAGCAGCACGAGAACAUAGGACUGAGACACCAUCCCCAUCACGCCCCAACACACGAAGACUGACGGUGGCGGGUGCUGCACAUCUCAGCCGGAGCUCUGAAGGCAUUUAGCUGAGCGCUGGCCUGCACCUGGAGAGAGUGAGAGACACCAGCCUCCACUGCCAGGAAGGCCCAGGGUCCUCAGGGACCAAGACGCAGGAGACGGCCGCUGCCAGGGUCCUCGGGACUUCUGUGUGGCCUUCGCUACCGGAGCCCUGAGGCGCCAUCCCCAUGUGCCCUUCGGGCUGGUCCAGGAGGAGGCCCUGCGGCGGCCACAGACUGGGGGGACAAAGCCCCAGGAACUCAGAACCUUGUGGGUUUUGGAAGAGGAGCCGCGCAGCAAGGUCCCGACGCCUGCAGGGAGCUGAACGGGGAGCCGCGCGAGGAAGGGAGUGCAGCAGACCCAGUACGCAAAUGCUGACCCUACAAAACGCACCGCGGGUUCUCGAGCCGUGGGGAUCCCGGCGGUGCUCUCCAGAGACCGCAGCUGCAGGAGCUGGGCGGUCCCCGGCAGGUGCCACGAGGGUGCGAUCUCGGCCGAGAACCACCAGGCGUCCACGUCCACGGAGGGACUCAUUCUCCGUGCCCAUCUCACAGGGAGCAAAGGAGGCGGAGGGAGCCCCGGACUCACUGGGUUCUGACCCAGACCCUUCUCUUCUGCAGGGUGGAGUCCUCCUCCCAGAGAAGCCCAGACGUUCGUUUGGGAGACCCAGGGACACUCGGGGCCAUCACCUGCCCCUCACUGGGGCUCCCAGGGGAGACUUCACGCAGUGCCCAGUGUCCUCCCGCUGGGAUCCUCCUGCCCCCGAGGGGCGCCCGUGUCCCCCAGCACCCCAAGGAAGAGAAUGAGCUGUCUUUGGCGGGUGCUGUGCUAUUUUCUGUCCUUAUUUCACCUAGAAUGGCCAUUUCCAGAACUCAAUCCCUGCAAAUGAAUUUCUUCUAACGCCCCUUUUCAGUAUCAAGGAGCAGGAAGCAAUAUCCUUUAAAAACCGAUCGGCCAUACAUUUCUGCUCAUUAAAUAAAUAUUUUUACUUUGGACCCGAUUGAUUUUUCAGACACACGGAACAAUGGGACUGACUCACCUGUGUGCAGCUGGGAGCCUCCUUCCUCCCCGGGGACCUUUGAAGUCACAGUGAGGCGGCCACACCUGGUGCACAGGUGGAGCCCGGCCGAUAGGCACCUGAAUUCUCACCAACUUCACAGGGUGUUCAGAAACGGGCUCGCACUCGGCCGACACGCCCCCUUCCUGGAUCCCUGGGGUGGGAUGCCCAGUGUGGCUGCACCGGAGAAAGGGUGAAAACCAGCGGAGAGAGGGCCGGGAAAGGCUCCCCCACAGGCAUGUCAAGGAGAGAACCUGCAGUUCCACCACACCCUCCAGCCCCCUCCCAGGCAAUCUCCCCACUCCAGCCCCUGACCCCUGACCACCUUGCUCCUUGGUAUCCAGAGCCAGGCCGGAACUCAGGGAGGGCCGCGCCGUUCACUUCUGUAAGGGAGCCUCCGUUCAGUCAGUCAUUCAACAAACAUGAAUCCAGAGCCGCAUGCACUGCUGGUCCCGUCCCAGCUGCUGGUCACGGAGCGGAGAAAGCUUGAAGGCCGUGGUGUCUACUGAGAGGCAGAUGACAAACCAGGAGCACGAGUCACAGCACACACUGGCGCAGCUGCAGGGAGCUGGGCAGAGCCGGGCCUGGCACAUGGGGCAGGAGGCUGUGGCCCUAACGCCAUGGUGGGCGCCACAGACCUUGUCAGAAGGGGUCUGAGCAGAGACAUUGAUUUGGUUUCAUUAUCAUAUAGAACAGAAUAGAAAACUCAGACAUGAAGCUGCACACAUACACCCGUCUGGUCUUUGACAAGACCAACGAAAACAAGCCGCGGGGAAAGGACUCCCUGUCCGAUAGAUGGUGCUGGGAUAAGCAGCUCAGUCACAGGCAGAAGAAGGAAACUGGACUCUUACCCUUCCGCAUAGACGAAAAUCAACUCUAGAUGGAUUAAAGACUCAAAUGCAAGACGUCAAACUAUAAACAUCCUGGAAGACAACGUCUUCUUGACGUUGGCGUUGGCAAAGAACGCUGGCUAAGUCCUCAAAAGCAAUUGCAACAAAAACAAAAAUAGACAAGUGAUACCUAAUUAAACUGAAGAGCUUCUGCACAGCAGAAGAAACUGCCAACGGAGGAAACAGACACCCUACAGAAUGGGAGAAAAUGUCUGCAAACUAUGCAUCUGACAAAGGCCUAAUAUCCAGCAUCUAUAGGACGCUUACACAAAUCAACAAGCAAAAAACAACCCCAUUAAAAAAUGGGCGGCCGGGCGCGGUGGCUCAUGCCUGUAAUCCGAGCACUUCGGGAAGCUGAGGCGGGCGGAUCACAAGGUCAGGAGAUCGAGACCAUCCUGGCUAACACGGUGAAACUCCGUCUCUACUAAAAAAUAUUAAAAAAUUAGCUGGGCGUGGUGGUGGCCGCCUGUAGUCCCAGCUACUCGGGAGGCUGAGGCAGGAGAAUGGCGUGAACCAGGGAGGAGGAGCUUGCAGUGAGCCGAGAUUGCGCCACUGCACUCCAGCGUGGGCUACAGAGUGAAACUCUGUCUCAAAAAAAAAAAAAAAAAGGCAAAGGACAUGAACAGAUACUUCUCAAAACAAGACAUACAAGUGACCAACAAGUAUAAGAAAAAAUUCUCAUUAUCAGAGAAAUGCAAAUCAAAACCACAAUGAGAUGCCAGCUCAGCAGUCAGAAUGGCGAUUAUUACAAAGUCAAAAAAACAACAGAUGCUGGUGAAGCUGAAGAAAAAAGGUGAUGCUCACGCACUGCUGGUGGGAACAUAAAUUAGCCCAGGCCCGUGGAGAGCAGUCUGGAGAUUCCUCAAAGAUCUUAAAACACAGCUACCAUUCAACCUAGCAAUCCCAUUACUGGGUAUAUACCCAAAAGAAAAUAAAGGAUUCUGCCAAAAGGACACAUAUGUUCAUCACAGCGUUAUUCACGAUAGCAAGACAUGGAACAAACCUAGGUGCCCAUCAGUGGUGGACUACAUAAAGAAAACGUGGUACAUAUACACUGUGGAAUACUACGUAGCCAUAAAAAGAAUGGAAUCGUGUCCUUUGCAGCAACAUGGAUGCAGCUGGAGGCCAUUCUCGUAAGCAAAUUAAUGCAGGAGCAAAAAACCAAAUACCGCAUGUUCUUACUUACAAGUGGGAGCUAAACAUUGAGGACACGUGGACAAAAAGAUGGGAACAAAAGUCACUGGGGCCUCCUGGAGGGUUGGGGAUGGAGGAUUAAAGAACUUCCUUCAGGUAUGAUGCUCGCCAUCUGGGUGAUGGCACCCGUCCUCCAAACCUCAGCAUCACACAAUAUUCUCAUGUAACAAAUCUGCACGUGUGCCCCUAAAUCUAAAAUAAAAGUUGAGAUUUUAAAAGUAAAGUAAGAUAAAUGUCAUAUCAGUUAUUCGAUCCGUC